GUACUACUUCCAUUGCUACAAAUGGUUCUAUCUCCACUAUUACAAAAUAUUACAAAAAAUAAUGCAUGCAUUAAGAAGGCCAUUUUCAACUCUGCUAAAUUAUGUUCUGUUUCCUCUCUGCCCUGUCUGGCCCUCAGCAUUUUUAUGUGAACUUCUUUCUGCUUCCUGCUUUUCUGCAUGCCAAACUGCAUUCUUCCAUGUGAAGUGGGACAUGAUGGAAUGUUCAACAUGUUGUUUUCAGAACCUGGAUCUGUUGAUCUGGCUUUGCAGCUCUUUUGGUGUAUGAACAUCUUACUACGGAGAGAUUUCCCUCUGAAUUCUGGCCAAGCCUUAACUGCUAAGAAAUCUGAUGUUAAAUUAAAAAAUACAAAUGGACUGAUCAGGCCAUAAAACUGAAAUCAAGAUAUGUAAUGAACAGGUGCCACAGAACUGACGAACAAUUCACACUUCUAAAUAGUAAAGUUUCCAGCUACAGAUGAUAUUAGAACAAAGAGCUACAUAACAGCAGAUUAAAGAAUCCCUCCCCAUAUCAAAAUACAGUAUCUCGUCUAUUUCACGGCCAAGGCAUAUAGUGUGGAAGGUGAAAAAAAUGAUUGGCUGGGACAUGUUUUCCCAAGCUGCAAUGGAAAUUUCAUGGAUUGAACCAGUGAUUGAGCACCUGGUGGGAAGGCAGGGUCAACCGAGGGGAGCUCAGGUGCAUGCAAUGUACCUGAGUCACCGGAAUGGAUGGGUGGAGCCAGGAUUCACCUCUUCUCAGACCUGGACAUUCCUGAGGCCUUCUGAAGAGCCUUGAUGAAACAUCCAGCUCAGGAAACACAAUGGCUUUAAACACUUCACUGAAAAGAGUUAUUUUUGAAAAUCAAAUUAAAAAUCCUGUUCACAUGCAAAAAACAUAAAUAAUAAUCAACUUCUCUGUUGAAAUGGAAACCAGCGAUUUACUGCAUUUUGCUCAGCAAAAUCAUGGCAACAAGUUUUCAACCUGGGUUGAAAAGGACCUCAAAGAUCAUAUAGUUUCAACCCUCCGGCUGUGGGCAGGGUCACCAACCACUGGACCAGGCUGCCCAGAACCACAGCCAGCCUGGCCUUGAAUGCCUCCAGGGAUGCGGCAUCCACAACAUCCUUGGGCAAGCUGUUCCAGUGUGCCACCACCCUCUGAGCGAAGAACUUCCUCCUAACUUUUUAUAUGGAAACAUCCCAGUCCACAGCUAGAAAACUCACAGCAAGAAACAAGAAAAAAGUCAAAGAACUUUGAAGAUGCUUAUUCUUUGUUCUCUGAGCAAUGGCCUAGUCACCCUUUCACUAUCUUGUGCUUGAAUCAUUUUCAUGUAUUGUUCUCAGAGGCUUGCCAUCUGAGAGUGUCAUAUUCUCUGUGGUAAAGAAACAUGAACAUGCAAUUUGGGAUCAAGUAGUUUUGUUUACAAAUAAAUACAUUUUUGUUUUCAAAGAUAUCCUUCAGCCUUAUUCAAAACUGGAUGAAGAAUUUGAGCUUGUAAUACUCGUUCCCUAUGACCUGAUACAAUGAAUAUUGUCUGCUGACAGAAGUAAUCUAUAUAGCAAGCUCUGGAAUGAGUUGAAUCAUGUCUCAUUGGGUAUUAGCAUAUUUCUCCUUAUUUUGGUGUGAAGGACUAUGGAAAAAUAAACACUUCAUUUCAC
ensembl:lncRNA